AGCGAACGCUGGCGGCGUGCCUAACACAUGCAAGUCGAACGUGAAAUGGGGCAACCCAAAGUAAAGUGGCGUACGGGUGAGUAACACGUAGGUAAUCUACCAAAGUGUCUGGAAUAACCUGCCGAAAGGCGGGCUAAUACUGGAUAGAGCGACGGGAUCCGUAAUUGGGUCUUUCGGGAAAGGGAGCUCGCAAGAGCCUUCGCACUUUGAUGAGCCUGCGUCUCAUUAGCUAGUUGGUGGGGUAACGGCCUACCAAGGCAUUGAUGAGUAGCUGGUCUGAGAGGAUGAUCAGCCACACUGGAACUGAAACACGGUCCAGACUCCUACGGGAGGCUG
rnacentral:rRNA from 1 species